rnacentral:lncRNA from 1 species
ACUCACCGAUCAGCCGGCGCACCUCGUCCUCGCUCAGGUAGAGACUCACGCUGGGCCCCGCGGAAGCCGACUGCAACUCCGGCCCGGCCGCCCCAGCCGCGCCGCCCCACGCAUGGCCGCCGCCGCCGCCGCCGAAGAGGAGCGUCGGCCGCCCGCCGCACCGCCGCCCACCCCCGGCCCCGAGCCGCUCACAGCCCCGAGCCGGGGGCGGCUGCCCAGCUCAUCGCACCGCCGGCCCGUGGCAGCCAGCAGUGGCUUCAGACCUCCGGAGCGCGCCGCCGCCGCCGCCUCCUCGCUGCAUCGUCCGGAGUUGGGGGCUGCCCGCGGGACGCGCCCGUGCGCGCCGCCGCCUCCCCGGGAGCGCGCACGCACCUUUCGCUCUGGGCGGGCCGGCCUGGGCAACGCGCUGGGGUUUUAAAGUGCCUCGGCGGGCGAAGGGCUCGGGUCACCCUCUCCGCAAGAGCCGGUCCCCGCCCCACGCGGUCACUGCGUCUAAUGUUUGCUUGUCUAUUGUCUGUAACCCUCCUUUCCCGACGGACGGGCCAGGCUGGAGCCACCGGCCGCGCCUGCAGCUCAGUGGGCGCCCCAGGUCCCCGGAAACGCCUGGAUGCGGCCGUUCUGGUUGCGAAAAAGCAGCAUGCUUUCCUGUUUAGUGGGAAAACUCAAAUAAAU